UUCUUGUAGUCCGACAACGCUGUCGGCAGCCAUCUUAAGAAAACUCCACCCUUUUAGUACACAGGCUCUUAUGGAAGUAUUUUUUCAAAGUGAUUUUUGUCUUAACUGGAUUACAAUUUCGACCAAAGAAAAAUAGUGAAAAAUACUACAUAAUUCAGGGCAUCCCCUAACAUCUCAAAGUUCUAUAAGAAGUGUGUUGUCAAAGGGUGUCCUAACAAUGGAAUAGGAGAUAAGUCAGUUGGCGUACGGUUCUUUGGUAUUCCUGUCUCUCCAGACAACAGAUACCCAUCGGACUCAAUAAUUAUUCAGCAAAGAAGAGAACUCUGGUUAGCUAGGUUAAACAUCAAUGAUGCUAACAUCAAAACAAAACACUUGGUGUGUAAUCUUCAUUUUGCAUCUGGUAAGCUCCAAAUAUUGUACUUAACUCAUAACCAUUUAUAAGCUUAUUUGACUGUCAUAGGAAAACCAAGCUACUAUUUACA